rnacentral:rRNA from 1 species
CNAGUAGCGGCGAGCNNNCGGGAAGAGCUCAAAUUUAUAAUCUGGCACCUUCGGUGUCCGAGUUGUAAUCUCUAGAAAUGUUUUCCGCGUUGGACCGCACACAAGUCUGUUGGAAUACAGCGGCAUAGUGGUGAGACCCCCGUAUAUGGUGCGGACGCCCAGCGCUUUGUGAUACAUUUUCGAAGAGUCGAGUUGUUUGGGAAUGCAGCUCAAAUUGGGUGGUAAAUUCCAUCUAAAGCUAAAUAUUGGCGAGAGACCGAUAGCGAACAAGUACCGUGAGGGAAAGAUGAAAAGCACUUUGGAAAGAGAGUUAACAGUACGUGAAAUUGUUGGAAGGGAAACGCUUGAAGUCAGACUUGCUUGCCGAGCAAUCGGUUUGCAGGCCAGCAUCAGUUUUCCGGGAUGGAUAAUGGUAGAGAGAAGGUAGCAGUUUCGGCUGUGUUAUAGCUCUCUGCUGGAUACAUCUUGGGGGACUGAGGAACGCAGUGUGCCUUUUGGCGGGGGUUUCGACCUCUUCACACUUAGGAUGCUGGUGGAAUGGCUUUAAACGACCCGUCUUGAACCACGGACCA